rnacentral:rRNA from 1 species
GAUGAACGCUGGCGGCGUGCCUAAUACAUGCAAGUCGAGCGAACAGACGAGGCUCUUGCUCCUCUUCCGUUAGCGGCGGACGGGUGAUUAACACGUGUCUACCUUACCUUUAAGACUGGGAUAACUUCACGAACCCUAAUCUCAUACCGGUUCAUAUAUUGAACCUCAUGGUUCAUUAGUGCACGCCGUAUUUGCUGACACUUAUUGAUGUAUCCGCGCCGGAUUAGCUAGUUGGUAGGGUAACGGCUUACCAAGGCAACGAUGCGUAGCUGACCUGAGAGGAUGAUCAGCCACACUGGAACUGAGACACGGUCCAGACUCCUACGGGAGGCAGCAGUAGGGAAUCUUCCGCAAUGGGCGAAAGCUUGACGGAGCAACGCCGCGUGAGUGAUGAAGGUCUUCGGAUCGUAAAACACUGUUAGUAGGGAAGAACAAAAGUGUGAGAAACUAUGCACGUCUUGACGGUACCAAAACAGAAAGCAACGGCUAACUACGUG